UGACCAAGAGGGAAAAUUACUUGUCCAUGCAACAAGAUCAAAGAAUCGACUCUAUAACGUUCGGAUGGCAAGGAAGUGAUAUCUCCCUAUUUUUACUGAUUUUAACUAUGUUUUAGGUAUAGGAUUUUGAGUCUUUAUGUUAUUUCUCGAGUCUUUUAGUGUCUUAUCAGGUAUUCUAUGCAGUGGGACAACAAUGGAGAUGAGGAGACAUUUUGGAGCAAAAUCUACGGAAAAGGAUGCUAAGGACGAUUUCAGUCCCAGAUUCAGCGAGAGUGUCAAUCGAUACACUCCUAGUGUCGAUCGACACCAGUUUCGGCCCAGCAAAGUCCAUUACGCUUUCAAGUUUACAGAAGAGGAAAUUUGCCCAAGAAGACUUCCCUAUUUGUAUUAUUAGUCUUUGGAUGUUUUAUAGGGCUUAUAUAUAGUUUUAGAGGUAAUUGUUUAGACCUAAGUUCCUUUUAUCAAGUUCUUUGCAAAUCCCUAUUUUCAGAGACAUAAGCUAUUCAUCCCUUGUUCUUGAGAGAUUCAUUCAGUUUUCAAUACAGUUAAAAUAUCUCUUCUUACUCUUAUCUUAUUUGCUGUGUUUAUGUUUUCUUACUCAAUUAUGUUGCUUGUUUCAUUCAAUAUGUCUGAGUAGUUUGCUUGUUAUUAAUAGUGUUUCUCAUUAGGGAUUCAUAUGGUUUAGUAGAUCUCCCCCUUUGCUAGGUUAUCUGUAGAAUUCUUCUUCUUUGAUUAU
rnacentral:sRNA from 1 species